AGCAGCCGCGGUAAUUCCAGCUCCAAUAGCGUAUAUUAAAGUUGUUGCAGUUAAAAAGCUCGUAGUUGAAUUUCGGGAUCAUCAGGUUGGUCGUGCCUCUGGUAUGUACUUACCUCGAUGGUUCCUCCUUCUUGAAGAACCGUAAUGCCAUUAAUUUGGUGUUGCGGGGAAACAGGACUGUUACUUUGAAAAAAUUAGAGUGUUUAAAGCAGGCUCACGCUUGAAUACAUUAGCAUGGAAUAAUGAAAUAGGACGUUGAUCCUAUUUUGUUGGUUUCUAGGAUUGACGUAAUGAUUAAUAGGGAUAGUUGGGGGCAUUAGUAUUCAAUUGUCAGAGGUGAAAUUCUUGGAUUUAU
rnacentral:rRNA from 1 species